AUUAGAGAAGCUGACCUAGCGUUAACCUUUUAAGUUAAAGCCUGGGAAUCCAAACUUCCCCUCAAUGA
rnacentral:tRNA from 1 species